UACGUAGGCAGCAAGCGUUGUUCGGAAUUACUGGGCGUAAAGAGUGUGUAGGCGGUGCUCCAAGUCUGGUGUGAAAUCUCCCGGCUUAACUGGGAGGGUGCAUUAGAAACUGGAAUGCUAGAGGAUGGGAGAGGUAAGCGGAAUUCCUGGUGUAGCGGUGAAAUACGUAGAGAUUGGGAAGAACACCAGUGGCGAAGGCGGCUAUCUGGACGGUUUCUGACGCUAAGACGCGAAAGCGUGGGGAGCAAACAGG
rnacentral:rRNA from 1 species